GUUUUCACUUGGGUAGCACAUAUACUAAAAUUGGAACGAUACAGAGAAGAUUAGCAUGCCCCCUGCCCAAGGAUGACAUGCAAAUUCAUGAAGCGUUCUAUAUUUUU
rnacentral:snRNA from 1 species